rnacentral:rRNA from 1 species
UACGUAGGGGGCAAGCGUUGUCCGGAAUCAUUGGGCGUAAAGAGCGUGUAGGCGGCCCGAUAAGUCCGCUGUGAAAGUCCAGGGCUCAACCCUGGAAUGCCGGUGGAUACUGUCGGGCUCGAAUCCGGAAGAGGUGAGUGGAAUUCCUGGUGUAGCGGUGAAAUGCGCAGAUAUCAGGAAGAACACCCGUGGCUAAGGCGGCUCUCUAGUACGUGACUGACGCUGAGACGCGAAAGCGUGGGGAGCGAACAGG